rnacentral:misc_RNA from 1 species
AAGUCAGUAACAAGGUUUCCGUAGGUGAACCUGCGGAAGGAUCAUUAGAAUGAGAGCCGGACCAUGUCGUGGGCGAAAGCUCGCACGUGCCAGUAAGCGCCCGUAAACCUCCACCCUUGUGUAUUAUUCUUCUGUUGCUUUGGCAGGCCGCGACCCUCUGGGGAGCGCUGGCUUCGGCUGGAGAGUGCCUGCCAGAGGACCAAACUCUGUAAUUUAAUGCCGUCUGAGUACUACGAAAAUAGUUAAAA